UCCUUGAUAGCUCAGUUGGUAAAGAAUCUGCCUGCAAUGCAGAAGAUCCUGGUUCAGUUCCUGGGUUGGGAA
rnacentral:tRNA from 1 species